UGAUUGUGCUUUGUGUUUUAUUUCAUUACUUUUUUUUCUGUUUCUGAGAUAGGAGAAUACACGCCUGGACCUCAGCCUGGGUUUAGAUCUGAGAUGCCUCCUGAGCUGCUGAAAUGGAAGCUUGGCAAAAAGCAAAGGCACCCUGAAGGGACAGCUGCAAGGAGGAAGUCAGAGUGCUUUGAGGCAAGGAGUAUUCUGGUACCUGCAGAAGCCAUCCGGGAUGCUGCUCUUCCUCCCUGUGCUCUCACAAGCAAAGGCAAAUGAGGUAGGGACUGCUGGGACAGCCCUUAAGGUUGAACUCCCAUUUUCCUUCUUCCCUCUUAAAAUUAAUU
rnacentral:lncRNA from 1 species